CAAAAUUCAAUUGAAGAGUUUGAUCAUGGCUCAGAUUGAACGCUGGCGGUAACUUUUAAACAUGCAAGUCGAGCGGUAACAGACAUAAAGAUUCAGCUUGCUGAAUCCGGUGCUGACGAGCGGCGAACGGGUGAGUAACGCGUAGGAAUCUACCCAGUAGCGGGGGAUAGCCCGAGGAAACUCGGAUUAAUACCGCAUACGCCCUGAGGGGGAAAGGGGGCAAUUUAUUGCUCUCACUAUUGGAUGAGCCUGCGUAAGAUUAGCUUGUUGGUAGGGUAAUGGCCUACCAAGGCGACGAUCUUUAGCUGGUCUGAGAGGACGAUCAGCCACAUUGGGACUGAGACACGGCCCAGACAUCUACGGAUGGCAGCAGUUAAGAAUAUUGGACAAUGGGGGCAACCCUGAUCCAGGUAUACCGCGUGUGUGAAGAAGGCCCUAGGGUUGUAAAGCACUUUAAUCAGAGAAGAAGCAUUUUAAGUUAAUACCUUAAUUUGUUGACGUUA
rnacentral:rRNA from 1 species